rnacentral:rRNA from 1 species
CGCGCAGGCGGGUCAGUAAGUCAGAGGUGAAAUCCUACAGCUCAACUGUAGAACUGCCUUUGAUACUGCUGAUCUUGAGUAUGGAAGAGAGAGACGGAAUUCCAGGUGUAGUGGUGAAAUACGUAGAUAUCUGGAAGAACACCAGUUGCGAAGGCGGUCUCUUGGUCCAAUACUGACGCUGAGGCGCGAAAGCGUGGGUAGCAAACA